rnacentral:lncRNA from 1 species
GGGGAGGGUAAUAUGUAGACAAGCCUUACCCCUACCCGAAAGGGCAGGGAGGCUGUUUCCAAUCGACCCUCGGCGCAUAGGACAAAAGGAAAAACAGUUGUAAAACAAAACAAAAACAAAAAGCAUUAGUGACUCCCGCAGAAAAUUGUGAAAAUAAUUAACUAAAAAUAAGAAACAUACAUACAAUCGCAGGCAAUAAAAUCGUGCAGUAACUAUCAUAUCUAACAGCCACAGGAGGGCACACGCUAA